GCAUGGCAUUUUUAAGUGUAUGUUCUGUAAUUAGAAGUUGCUUGAAGGGCCAAGUUGGGUUUUUAGUCUUGUGCUUUAUUUUUUAUAAAAUAAUAUUGUCUGAAAAUUACAUCGUAUUAUUUCUAUAAUCUCUCUCCAUACAGAGACAAGCAUGGUUUGCUUCUCUCGUCUUUCUCGUCCUGAGGUUGACUUUACAGGUAUUUGAUGCCCUUCAUCUGAUAAUACCAAGGGCAGAUGUCGAGAUCUUUCUUCUUAGAUGUUGAUGAACAGCUGCAAAGAAGAGCAUAAGGAGGCCACUUUCUUGCAGGCUCUGUCGACCGGGCUAUCAGAUCCACACUUGACAAAUUAAGUUUUCUGUUUCACAAGAGUUACUCCAAACUUUCAAGCUAGUGGAGAAGGGUUUCCCUUUCGAUUCCUCCUUGUCUUCUUCUUCUUCUUCUUCUUUUUGUUUUUUUUCAGGAUCUCUGGUGAGCACGUGAUUUCUUAGAUAUAACUUUUCUCCUCACUGUGCACUGGAGGUGGUGAUGCAGUUGAUUUAUAGCAUAUUUAAUUGUCUUGUUCUGUGAGGAAUUGAGAGUUGAUUAGAUCACAAAUGCUUUAAUGCUCCAGCAUAAUAGACGGCUGAAUAUAAUGAAUUUCCUGCAAUGUGCACUUAUAGCAUAAUUGAUGUUUAUUAUAUUGAAGUACUUUUUUUCUGGCA